UACGUAGGGGGCAAGCGUUGUCCGGAAUCAUUGGGCGUAAAGCGCGUGUAGGCGCCAGAAAAGUCCGCUGUGAAAACUCGAGGCUCAACUUCGAGCUGUCGGUGGAAACUUUCUGGCUAGAGUCCGGAAGAGGAGAGUGGAAUUCCUGGUGUAGCGGUGAAAUGCGCAGAUAUCAGGAAGAACACCCGUGGCGAAGGCGGCUCUCUGGGACGGUACUGACGCUGAGACGCGAAAGCGUGGGGAGCGAACAGG
rnacentral:rRNA from 1 species